GGGUUGUGAGGUUAAGCGACUAAGCGUACACGGUGGAUGCCCUGGCAGUCAGAGGCGAUGAAGGACGUGCUAAUCUGCGAUAAGCGUCGGUAAGGUGAUAUGAACCGUUAUAACCGGCGAUUUCCGAAUGGGGAAACCCAGUGUGAUUCGUCACACUAUCAUUAACUGAAUCCAUAGGUUAAUGAGGCGAACCGGGGGAACUGAAACAUCUAAGUACCCCGAGGAAAAGAAAUCAACCGAGAUUCCCCCAGUAGCGGCGAGCGAACGGGGAGCAGCCCAGAGCCUGAAUCAGUGUGUGUGUUAGUGGAAGCGUCUGGAAAGGCGCGCGAUACAGGGUGACAGCCCCGUACACAAAAAUGCACAUGCUGUGAGCUCGAUGAGUAGGGCGGGACACGUGGUAUCCUGUCUGAAUAUGGGGGGACCAUCCUCCAAGGCUAAAUACUCCUGACUGACCGAUAGUGAACCAGUACCGUGAGGGAAAGGCGAAAAGAACCCCGGCGAGGGGAGUGAAAAAGAACCUGAAACCGUGUACGUACAAGCAGUGGGAGCACGCUUAGGCGUGUGACUGCGUACCUUUUGUAUAAUGGGUCAGCGACUUAUAUUCUGUAGCAAGGUUAACCGAAUAGGGGAGCCGAAGGGAAACCGAGUCUUAACUGGGCGUUAAGUUGCAGGGUAUAGACCCGAAACCCGGUGAUCUAGCCAUGGGCAGGUUGAAGGUUGGGUAACACUAACUGGAGGACCGAACCGACUAAUGUUGAAAAAUUAGCGGAUGACUUGUGGCUGGGGGUGAAAGGCCAAUCAAACCGGGAGAUAGCUGGUUCUCCCCGAAAGCUAUUUAGGUAGCGCCUCGUGAAUUCAUCUCCGGGGGUAGAGCACUGUUUCGGCAAGGGGGUCAUCCCGACUUACCAACCCGAUGCAAACUGCGAAUACCGGAGAAUGUUAUCACGGGAGACACACGGCGGGUGCUAACGUCCGUCGUGAAGAGGGAAACAACCCAGACCGCCAGCUAAGGUCCCAAAGUCAUGGUUAAGUGGGAAACGAUGUGGGAAGGCCCAGACAGCCAGGAUGUUGGCUUAGAAGCAGCCAUCAUUUAAAGAAAGCGUAAUAGCUCACUGGUCGAGUCGGCCUGCGCGGAAGAUGUAACGGGGCUAAACCAUGCACCGAAGCUGCGGCAGCGACGCUGAUGCGUUGUUGGGUAGGGGAGCGUUCUGUAAGCCUGUGAAGGUGUGCUGUGAGGCAUGCUGGAGGUAUCAGAAGUGCGAAUGCUGACAUAAGUAACGAUAAAGCGGGUGAAAAGCCCGCUCGCCGGAAGACCAAGGGUUCCUGUCCAACGUUAAUCGGGGCAGGGUGAGUCGACCCCUAAGGCGAGGCCGAAAGGCGUAGUCGAUGGGAAACAGGUUAAUAUUCCUGUACUUGGUGUUACUGCGAAGGGGGGACGGAGAAGGCUAUGUUGGCCGGGCGACGGUUGUCCCGGUUUAAGCGUGUAGGCUGGUUUUCCAGGCAAAUCCGGAAAAUCAAGGCUGAGGCGUGAUGACGAGGCACUACGGUGCUGAAGCAACAAAUGCCCUGCUUCCAGGAAAAGCCUCUAAGCAUCAGGUAACAUCAAAUCGUACCCCAAACCGACACAGGUGGUCAGGUAGAGAAUACCAAGGCGCUUGAGAGAACUCGGGUGAAGGAACUAGGCAAAAUGGUGCCGUAACUUCGGGAGAA
rnacentral:rRNA from 1 species